GUACGGCGAGUGAAGCAGCAAUAGCUCAAAUUUGAAAUCUGGCGUCUUCGACGUCCGAGUUGUAAUUUGUAGAGGAUGCUUCUGAGUAACCACCGACCUAAGUUCCUUGGAACAGGACGUCAUAGAGGGUGAGAAUCCCGUAUGCGGUCGGAAAGGUGCUCUAUACGUAGCUCCUUCGACGAGUCGAGUUGUUUGGGAAUGCAGCUCUAAAUGGGAGGUAAAUUUCUUCUAAAGCUAAAUAUUGGCCAGAGACCGAUAGCGCACAAGUAGAGUGAUCGAAAGAUGAAAAGCACUUUGGAAAGAGAGUUAAAAAGCACGUGAAAUUGUUAAAAGGGAAGGGAUUGCAACCAGACUUGCUCGCGGUGUUCCGCCGGUCUUCUGACCGGUCUACUCGCCGCGUUGCAGGCCAGCAUCGUCUGGUGCCGCUGGAUAAGACUUGAGGAAUGUAGCUCCCUCGGGAGUGUUAUAGCCUCUUGUGAUGCAGCGAGCGCCGGGCGAGGUCCGCGCUUCGGCUAGGAUGCUGGCGUAAUGGUCGUAAUCCGCCCGUCUGAAAAACACAAAACAAAAAACCCCAAGCCUGCUGACCGAAGGGGGUACUUGCCUGGCGCUCGCUGCAUCACGGAGGCUAU
rnacentral:rRNA from 1 species